rnacentral:rRNA from 1 species
GACGAACGCUGGCGGCGUGCCUAAUACAUGCAAGUCGAACGCAGUGGGGACGGGUGAGUAACACGUGGGUAACCUCCCAUCAGAGGGGAUAACACUUGGAAACAGGUGCUAAACCGAUAUUGGUGGAUGGACUAGCGGUGCAUUAGCUAGUUGGUGAGGUAACGGCGCACCAAGUCGACGAUGCAUAGCCGACCUGAGAGGGUGAUCGGCCAAACUGGGACUGAGACACGGCCCAGACUCCUACGGGAGGCAGCAGUAGGGAAUAUUGGGCAAUGGACGAAAGUCUGAUCCAGCAACGCCGCGUGUGUGAAGAAGGUUUUCGGAUCGUAAAACUCUGUUGUUGGAGAAGCGGUAUCUAACCAGAAAGCCACGGCUAACUACGUGCCAGCAGCCGCGGUAAUAC